ACUGAACGCUGGCGGCAGGCCUAACACAUGCAAGUCGAGCGGAUGAAGGGAGCUUGCUCCUGGAUUCAGCGGCGGACGGGUGAGUAAUGCCUAGGAAUCUGCCUGGUAGUGGGGGAUAACGUCCGGAAACGGGCGCUAAUACCGCAUACGUCCUGAGGGAGAAAGUGGGGGAUCUUCGGACCUCACGCUAUCAGAUGAGCCUAGGUCGGAUUAGCUAGUUGGUGGGGUAAAGGCCUACCAAGGCGACGAUCCGUAACUGGUCUGAGAGGAUGAUCAGUCACACUGGAACUGAGACACGGUCCAGACUCCUACGGGAGGCAGCAGUGGGGAAUAUUGGACAAUGGGCGAAAGCCUGAUCCAGCCAUGCCGCGUGUGUGAAGAAGGUCUUCGGAUUGUAAAGCACUUUAAGUUGGGAGGAAGGGCAGUAAGUUAAUACCUUGCUGUUUUGACGGUACCAACAGAAUAAGCACCGGCUAACUUCGUG
rnacentral:rRNA from 1 species